rfam:Paenibacillus stellifer strain DSM 14472, complete genome.
AAAGUUUGACAGACAAUCGCCGGCGGCCGCAGGGCCGCGGGAGGAAAGUCCGGGCUCCAUAAGGCAGGGUGCUGGAUAACGUCCAGUCGGCGCGAGCCGAAGGAUAGUGCCACAGAAAUGGACCGCCGAUGGCUGCAGGUCGUCAAGACAUGCAGCACAGGCAAGGGUGGAACCGAGGUGUAAGAGACCCCGAGGAGCGAUGGUGACAUCGUUCCUGGUAAACCCCACCUGGAGCAAGACCUAAUGGAACGCAGCCGAUUCCCUUGCGGAUGAGGCAGCCUUAGCCUGAGGCGCGUUCGGGUUGGUCGCUGGAGCUGUGCAGCAAUGUACGGCCUAGAUAGAUGAUUGUCGCUCACAGUGGGAGGGUAGUUCCCGACAGUACCACAACGAGCACAGAACCCGGCUUACGGCAAACUUUCCUA